rnacentral:rRNA from 1 species
UACAGAGGUCUCAAGCGUUGUUCUGAUUCAUUGGGCGUAAAGGGUGUGUAGGUGGCGCCGUAAGUCGGGUGUGAAAUUUCGGAGCUUAACUCCGAAACUGCAUUCGAUACUGCGGUGCUUGAGGACUGGAGAGGAGACUGGAAUUUACGGUGUAGCAGUGAAAUGCGUAGAUAUCGUAAGGAAGACCAGUGGCGAAGGCGGGUCUCUGGACAGUUCCUGACACUGAGACACGAAGGCCAGGGGAGCAAACGGG